GGUAGAAUGGCUGAGUAUAAGUGAUAAAUUGUAAAUUUAUUAAGGAGAAUUUUCUCUUCUAUCA
rnacentral:tRNA from 1 species